rnacentral:rRNA from 1 species
CCUACGGGAGGCAGCAGUGAGGAAUAUUGGUCAAUGGUCGGGAGACUGAACCAGCCAAGCCGCGUGAGGGAGGAAGGUACAGAGUAUCGUAAACCUCUUUUGUCAGGGAACAAAGUCGGGGACGUGUCCCCGGAUGAGUGUACCUGAAGAAAAAGCAUCGGCUAACUCCGUGCCAGCAGCCGCGGUAAUACGGAGGAUUCGAGCGUUAUCCGGAUUUAUUGGGUUUAAAGGGGGCGGAGGCGGGUUGUUAAGUCAGCUGUGAAAGCCCGGGGCUCAACCUGCGCCCGGCCGUUGAAACUGGCAGUCUCGAGUUGGAGAGAGGUAUGCGGAAUGCGCGGUGUAGCGGUGAAAUGCAUAGAUAUCGCGAAGAACUCCGAUUGCGAAGGCAGCAUGCCGGCUCCACACUGACGCUGAGGCACGAAAGCGUGGGUAUCGAACAGGAUUAGAUACCCCUGUAGUC